rnacentral:pre_miRNA from 1 species
CUUAUACUCCCUCCGUCCAGAAAUACUUGUCAUCAAAAUGGAUAAAAGGAAAUGUAUCUAGACGUAUUUUAGUUUUAGAUACAUCUCUUUUUAUCCAUUUUGAUGACAAGUAUUUCGGACGGAGGGAGUAUUUU